CGGCACGAAGUGUGCGGUAGUGGAAACACCCGCAAAGUUUUAGCGUAUGUAAACUUGAACAACACUUCCGUGCCUUU
rnacentral:ncRNA from 1 species